AUGGCAGCGGCUAGAAGAAGAAACCAUUGGAGGCUUGUCACUGCCCUCGUCCUGCUAGUGCUACUACUCGCCUCACCAUGCCGAUGCACAGGCGCUGCACCGGCGACGACGACGAACGCCACCACAGACGACGACUUGCGAGCUCUCCUCUCCUUCAAGGCCCUCAUCAACGGCGACCAGGAGGGGGCGCUCUCCUCGUGGGUGAACACCAGCGACCCCUGCGGUGGCUGGCGGGGCGUGGGGUGCCGCUCGCUCCGGCACCCUCGCCGCGUCACCAGCGUGGAGCUCACGUCCUCCGGCCUGUCCGGCACGGUGUCCCCCUACCUCGCCAACCUGACCUUCCUCCGCACGCUCAACCUGUCAGGCAACCUCCUCGCCGGCACCAUCCCACGGGAGCUCGGCUCCCUGCGUCGCCUCUCCGAGCUUGACCUUAGCGACAACAACCUGCAAGGUGAGAUCCCUUCGUCCCUCACGCGCUCCUCCAGACUUCGCGCACUACUUCUGGGGCGCAACAGCCUGGUGGGAGAGAUGCCCGCCAACUGGAGCCACUGUCGCCACCUCGAGGUCUUGGACGUUGGCGUCAACAACCUCACCGGCCAAGCUCAUCCACUGCUACUUGGCCUCGCCUCUCUCUCCAACCUCAAGAAGCUUCGCCUCUACACCAACAAUCUCGUGGGCACCAUCCCUUCCUCUCUUGGAAACCUUACAUCUCUAGUGAUUUUGAGCAUGGGUAGAAACAGAUUAGUAGGCGAGAUACCAGAAUCCUUUGGACAAAUGACCAAGUUGCGGUAUCUCCAUUUAGCCUUCAAUGAGCUCUCGGGCACCAUCCCGGCAUCCAUCUUUAACUUGUCUUCAAUCAGACAGAUCCAGCUGAGUCACAAUGAGUUGUCUGGUGUUAUCCCGAAUGAUGUUGGAUCUACUCUCCCAAACCUCGAGCUUUUGUUGCUCUAUCUUGCAAUUUCCAUGGAAGGAUUCCCGGCUCAUUAG
rnacentral:rRNA from 1 species